UUAAGCCAUGCGAGUCGAACGAGUUUAGGCUCGUGGCGUACGGCUCAGUAACACGUGGAUAACCUACCCUUAGGACCGGGAUAACCUUGGGAAACUGAGGACAAUACUGGAUAGGCAAUUUUUCCUGCAAUGGUUCUUUGUUUAAAUGUUUUUUCGCCUAAGGAUGGGUCUGCGGCCGAUUAGGUAGUUGGUUAGGUAAUGGCUUACCAAGCCGUUGAUCGGUACGGGUUGUGAGAGCAAGAGCCCGGAGAUGGAACCUGAGACAAGGUUCCAGGCCCUACGGGGUGCAGCAGGCGCGAAACCUCCGCAAUGUGAGAAAUCGCGACGGGGGGAUCCCAAGUGCCAUUCUUAACGGGAUGGCUUUUCAUUAGUGUAAAGAGCUUUUGGAAUAAGAGCUGGGCAAGACCGGUGCCAGCCGCCGCGGUAACACCGGCAGCUCUAGUGGUAGCAAUUUUUAUUGGGCCUAAAGCGUCCGUAGCCGGUUUAAUAAGUCUCUGGUGAAAUCCUGCAGCUUAACUGUGGGAAUUGCUGGAGAUACUAUUAGACUUGAGACCGGGAGAGGUUAGAGGUACUCCCAGGGUAGAGGUGAAAUUCUGUAAUCCUGGGAGGACCGCCUGUUGCGAAGGCGUCUAACUGGAACGGUUCUGACGGUGAGGGACGAAAGUUAGGGGCGCGAACCGGAUUAGAUACCCGGGUAGUCCUAACUGUAAACGAUGCGGACUUGGUGUUGGGGUGGCUUUGAGCUGCUUCAGUGCCGAAGGGAAGCUGUUAAGUCCGCCGCCUGGGAAGUACGGUCGCAAGACUGAAACUUAAAGGAAUUGGCGGGGGAGCACCACAACGCGUGGAGCCUGCGGUUUAAUUGGAUUCAACGCCGGACAUCUCACCAGAGGCGACAGCUGUAUGAUAGCCAGGUUGAUGACUUUGCUUGACUAGCUGAGAGGUGGUGCAUGGCCAUCUUCUAGAAGAUCUCU
rnacentral:rRNA from 1 species